CAUACUGAUGGCUAAAAAGUCAUAUUUACAAAAAAAAAUCCCAAAUCUAAUUUGAGUCUCAGACCUAGAAAAUUUGAAAACAGCAGGGAGAGAGAUUUUGCCUUUCUCCUACAAAACCGGACUGUCCCCGAAGCUCACUGCUUUCGUCUACGAGCUUCCCUCUCCAUUCGCCGUUGCUUCUGCUUACAUAUUGACUGGAAAGGAAGGUCAUUCUCGCUAAGAAAAUAGAAACCAAUCAUGAGAGGCUUAUAUGGCGGAGUUCAAGUUUGGCGCACGAUUUCAUUGACCAGAAAGUUAUGGGCAAGACACUGCUCGGCCAAGUUAUUUGUUGGAGGUCUAUCUUAUGAUACAAAUGAGCCUGUUUUAAAGGCUGCUUUUGAACAACAUGGUGAUAUACUAGAAGUUAAAGUAAUAUGUGAUCACAAGAGUGGGAGAUCAAAAGGGUAUGGAUUUGUACACUUUACUUCUGAAACUGCAGCCACCGCUGCUCUUAAAGAAAUGGAUGGUCAGGAAUAUUCGGGUGCAAUUUGCACAAAAGGGGUAGCAGCAUCAAUGCGAGGUUUGGUUUAGUAAGCAGAUGAGAAUUUUAUUCUUCCAUACGAAAUUUUGACUGUGUUGAUUGUAUUCUUUCUGCUCAUCUCCUCCAGGCUUAGCUUGGUAAUGAUAAGGAAAGAUUUUAAUUUGAACCACGAAAAGUGUGAUGAUUCUCGACAUUUUUGCUUAGGGUUUUCAAGAUUCUAAAUUUAUGAGGACCCAUAGCUUAGACAUUUUUGGUAGAGCAUGAAUCGAUCGUUAUAUGCUGCAUUUGUUGGAGGGUCUUGGUUAGGAUUCGAUUUUAUGUUCUAUGUAUGUGUAUUGUUCAAAUGUAUAAUACUAAUGGCAGCUGGGAGCCUGCCAAGGGAAUGGAAACAUGUAAUAGCUCUCUUUCAUUGACACUGCUACAAAAUCUCUAUCUGCAACUCAAGUGGAAUGAUAGAUUUUGUUCAAAUCUUUGAAUAAUUGAAAUUGCAUAAUAAGCUU